rnacentral:misc_RNA from 1 species
CAACCAUCAAGCCCCGGGCUUGCGUUGGGGCCCUGCGGAGACGCAGGCCCCUAAAAGCAGUGGCGGGCUCGCUGUCAUCCCGAGCGUAGUAUUGUAUCUUCGCUUUGGGCGUGGCAGCGGGUUCCAGCCGUGAAACCACCUAUUUUUCAA